rnacentral:rRNA from 1 species
AUGGAGGAGGGCGGCAUAUCAGCGGCGCCGGUGAUGGCGUGUGUUGCUUAUUUAUGCUCAAGUGGUGUUCGUGCUAGGGCGAUGAUGAUUACCUUGGCUGGAAUUAGUGUGCCUUUCAGCAAUCGAGGCACCUGUGGGUAUCAAGUUGGAUCCUCCCUCUUGUCUCUAGAAUCCUUUUUGGUCAUUAUUCACAUUGAGAUGAAAGGUUAUAACUACUACAUCUUCGAGCAGGAUUCACAUUUCCUUGUCUGGCGCCCAGCAGGCUCGCCGCAAGUACAGCUACGCCGCCGCCUCCCUGGGGGGCUGCAAGGUGAAGUGGACGGCCGAGGAGAAGCCACACGGUGGGGCUGGGCUCUCAAGUGGGAGGCGGAGCUCGCCUCCCCCAACGACGACCGCUUCGAUUGCAAGUGGAAGUGGGAGCCCAAGUCCAAGCCCGGUGCCGCCGGCAAGGCCAAGACCAAGCUCGAGGAAGCCAGCGAGGAUGACAAGAAUAAGCCGGAGAGGAAGUGCACAUAG